ensembl:miRNA
UGGGUUAGCCACAAAGUUUGUUCGGGUUUUACUGUAGUAGCUCAUGGAAAAACCCAAAUGAACUUUUUGGGCCAACCCAG